AGAGCCAAGAUGGUGCCACUGCACUCCACCCUGGGCAACAGAGCAAGACUCUGUCCGAAAAAAGAAAAAAAAGUUAAGUGGGCAUCGUGGUCCCUGCUAGCUCUGGGCUGGCAGAGCAGCCCUCUUCUGACCCUUCCUUAAAAGGCCAGUUACAGUUUCCACAUUUGCCCUUGCACCCUGUCAAAAUAUACUGAAGAGACAUUUGGAAGAGUCCUCUCCUGCCAUGGAGAAUGGUUAGCAGACAGGAACGGGCCUCCCUGUGCUGAGGCCAGGCCUGUCCUCUGCUCUCCAUGGAGAGGAAGGGGCAGGAAAUACUCCAGUGCCAGCCACAGAGGAGUGUGAGGGUGCACUGGGCUGAGACGGUCGCUUAGCAGCGCCUUCCAUGGCGGUGAGAGGCAGGGGUGGGGGCUGUGGUCAUCUCCCAGCUGCGAGGUAACAUUCUGGGAAAGUAGCUAAGAUGGCGAGCUUUGACACCAGAGCUGAAUUCACCUCUUUCCCACCACAUGCUAGCACUGUGGCCCCUGGCAGAUUGCUUCACCUCUCCGAGCCUUAGUUACCUCAUCUGAAAACCGGACUGCAAAUUCCUGCCUUAGUGCUGUGAGAAUCGAGUGCAAUGAGGCAUCUAGCAUGGCGCCUGGCACCCAGGAAACAAACUACGAGUUUUCAUCAGUGGUAUUUCAGGUUGACGUGGCCACAUGUCUGCUAGAGAGACUGUCCCGAGUAAUGGUGUAGACCUUACCUCCUGGAAGGGUCAGCUUCACAAACGAAAUCUGGCUUCAGUGGCUGGCCAAGAGAGAGAAUUCACACACAGAGAACAAAUGACGGGGGCCCCGGAGCAGGAGAGAGUGGAGCAGGAAGGAAGCCGGGGCCCUGAAGGCCGGUGCUUAACGUAUAAUGAUAGAAAGCAGGUGGGGUGAAGGUUCCUGGAACACACAAGUAGCUUCAACUCAGAACACCUUGGGUUCGAAGUUUGCAUAUCUUCCUCACACCCAGGCUGUAGCAGUGAGGACUCCUUCAGGGCAAGAAACAAACCACAGUGAAAACCACCUUACAGACCAAGGGGAAUGGUUGACUUUUUUUUUCUUUUUCUUUUUUUUUUUUU
rnacentral:lncRNA from 1 species